AAUUUCGACCUGAACUCGAGCGUGAGCACCCGCUGAACUUAAGCAUAUCAGUAAGCGGAGGAAAAGAAACUAACAAGGAUUCCCUUA
rnacentral:rRNA from 1 species